GAGCGGUAACAGGUGUAGCAAUACAUGCUGACGAGCGGCGAACGGGUGAGUAAUGCUUUGGAAUCUUCCCAGUAGUGGGGAAUAACCAGUCGAAAGAUUGGCUAAUACCGCAUACGUCUGUAAAGGGAAAGCGGGGGCUCGUAAGACCUCGCGCUAUUGGAUGAGCCAAAGUCGGAUUAGCUAGUUGGUGGGGUAAUGGCCUACCAAGGCGACAAUCCGUAGCUGGUCUGAGAGGACGACCAGCCACACCGGAACUGAGACACGGUCCGGACUCCUACGGGAGGCAGCAGUGGGGAAUAUUGGACAAUGGGGGCAACCCUGAUCCAGCGACGCCGCGUGUGUGAAGAAGGCCCGUGGGUUGUANAGCACUUUUAGUGGGGACAAAAAGCUACGGAUUAACACCUGUGGUCUUGAUUUAACCACAGAANAAGCACGGCUAACUCUGUG
rnacentral:rRNA from 1 species